rnacentral:rRNA from 1 species
AGUGAACGCUAGCGGUAGGCCUAACACAUGCAAGUCGAACGGCAGCACAGGAGAGCUUGCUCUCUGGGUGGCGAGUGGCGGACGGGUGAGGAAUACAUCGGAAUCUACUCUGUCGUGGGGGAUAACGUAGGGAAACUUACGCUAAUACCGCAUACGACCUACGGGUGAAAGCAGGGGACCUUCGGGCCUUGCGCGAUUGAAUGAGCCGAUGUCGGAUUAGCUAGUUGGCGGGGUAAAGGCCCACCAAGGCGACGAUCCGUAGCUGGUCUGAGAGGAUGAUCAGCCACACUGGAACUGAGACACGGUCCAGACUCCUACGGGAGGCAGCAGUGGGGAAUAUUGGACAAUGGGCGCAAGCCUUGUCCAGCCAUACCGCGUGGGUGAAGAAGGCCUUCGGGUUGUAAAGCCCUUUUGUUGGGAAAGAAAUCCAGCUGGCUAAUACCCGGUUGGGAUGACGGUACCCAAAGAAUAAGCACCGGCUAACUUCGUGCCAGCCGCCGCCGUAA